rnacentral:tRNA from 1 species
CAAGAUGUAGCUUAUAAACUAAAGUUUAUUACUUACAUUAAUAGGGAACAAUAUUCUUGA